AGCGAACGUUUGCGGCGGGCCUAACACAUGCAAGUCGAACGGGCUAGCAAUAGUCAGUGGCGCACGGGUGCGUAACGCGUGGGUAAUCAACCCUUCAGCUCGGGAUAACGCCUUGAAAGGGGCGCUAAUACCGGAUGCGACGCGAGGAGCCUCGGCGCUUCGCGGGAAAGAUUCGCAAGGAUCACUGAAGGACGAGCCUGCGGCCCAUCAGCUAGUUGGUGAGGUAAGAGCUCACCAAGGCGAAGACGGGUAGCUGGUCUGAGAGGAUGAUCAGCCACACUGGAACUGAGACACGGUCCAGACUCCUACGGGAGGCAGCAGUGGGGAAUAUUGCGCAAUGGGCGAAAGCCUGACGCAGCCACGCCGCGUGAGCGAUGAAGGCC
rnacentral:rRNA from 1 species